GAUGGCCUAGCGGUUAGAACGUCCGCCUCGGAUGUGGGAGAUCGUGGGUUCGAUCCCCGGCUGAAUCA